rnacentral:rRNA from 1 species
CAGUCGCCGCGGUAAUACGUAGGGUGCAAGCGUUAAUCGGAAUUACUGGGCGUAAAGCGUGCGCAGGCGGUUAUAUAAGUCAGAUGUGAAAUCCCCGGGCUCAACCUGGGAACUGCAUUUGAGACUGUACGGCUAGAGUGUGUCAGAGGGGGGUAGAAUUCCACGUGUAGCAGUGAAAUGCGUAGAUAUGUGGAGGAAUACCGAUGGCGAAGGCAGCCCCCUGGGAUAACACUGACGCUCAUGCACGAAAGCGUGGGGAGCGAACAGGAUUAGAUACCCCUGUAGUCCCUGUCUCUUAUAU